rnacentral:rRNA from 1 species
CUCCUCAAGAAUUAAUUUGAGGUAUAGCCUGCUCUAUGAAUUUAUUUAAAUGGCCGCGGUAUUCUGACCGUGCGAAGGUAGCAUAAUCAUUAGUCUUUUAAUUGAAGGCUGGUAUGAAUGGCUGGACGAGAAAAUUUCUGUCUCUGUUAUAAAUUUUGAAUUUGAUUUUUAAGUGAAAAAGCUUAAAUAUUUUUGGGGGACGAUAAGACCCUAUGGAUCUUUAUAAUGAUGAUUAAUAAAAAGUUUAGAAGUUACAGCUUUUUACUCUAAGUUAUUGGGUUGGGGCGACUGGAAGAAAAAAAUAUCUCUUCUUAAAAAUAAAUAUUAUUUAUAGAAUUAAAAAUGACCCUAAAUUUUGGUUUAGCAGAUCAAGUUACCCUAGGGAUAACAGCGUAAUCUUUUUGGAGAGUUCAUAUCGAUGAAAAGGUUUGCGACCUCGAUGUUGGAUUAAGAGAUCCUUGCGGCGCAGCAGUUGCGGAGGAAAGUCUGUUCGACUUUUAAAUUCUUACGUGAUCUG